rnacentral:rRNA from 1 species
UGCUAAGGCCGAUGGCGACCGGCGCACGGGUGAGUAACGCGUAUCCAACCUACCUUACACUCUUGGACAGCCUUCUGAAAGGGAGAUUAAUACAAGAUGUUAUCAUGAGUAAGCAUUUUCGCAUGAUUAAAGGUUUACCGGUGUAAGAUGGGGAUGCGUUCCAUUAGAUAGUAGGCGGGGUAACGGCCCACCUAGUCUUCGAUGGAUAGGGGUUCUGAGAGGAAGGUCCCCCACAUUGGAACUGAGACACGGUCCAAACUCCUACGGGAGGCAGCAGUGAGGAAUAUUGGUCAAUGGACGAGAGUCUGAACCAGCCAAGUAGCGUGAAGGAUGAAGGUUCUAUGGAUUGUAAACUUCUUUUAUACGGGAAUAAACGAAUCCACGCGUGGAUUUUUGCAUGUACCGUAUGAAUAAGGAUCGGCUAACUCCGUGCCAGCAGCCGCGGUAAUACGGAGGAUCCGAGCGUUAUCCGGAUUUAUUGGGUUUAAAGGGAGCGUAGAUGGGUUGUUAAGUCAGUUGUGAAAGUUUGCGGCUCAACCGUAAAAUUGCAAUUGAUACUGGCAGUCUUGAGUACAGUUGAGGUAGGCGGAAUUCGUGGUGUAGCGGUGAAAUGCUUAGAUAUCACGAAGAACUCCGAUUGCGAAGGCAGCUUACUAACCUGUAACUGACAUUGAUGCUCGAAAGUGUGGGUAUCAAACAGGAUU